UGUUCUGCAAAGCAUGCUGAAGAUGGACAUCAUCACACAUUUAUUUCCGUAAGUGUGGGAGCACUUCUGUAAGACAUAAUAGGCAUGAUUUCCAGCUGGAUGGGGAGAGCUGGAUCUUUACCCCUGGGGAUGCUUGGAUGUCUGGUUUUUGACUUCCCCAAGACAAGAGAAAACUCCAGACCCAGAAUCUACAACAGAUGGUGACCCCAACAUGAUCGGACGCAAGAGGACUAUAGGCUGAUGUGCACUGAAAUCGAUGUGGCCAGUAGGAGGUGCGACACAAGGACUGUAGGGUGCUGCGGAAACACUAAAGAGCUCCAAGAAAAAUGCACUGGGUUACAGUCUCUUCCUGAAGAGAUUCUGGACCUCUGUGGAUUCCCUCUUGGUUGGUGAAGCCAUACCAUGGCAUGAUGGAGACACCCAGGAUAUCUUCCAAUGAACCAGAACUUCCAGAGAAUGGCUCUGAUUGAGCAGCCACCACCCCCCUUUUUCCAGAUGGAGGAAGCCUCUUCAUUGACUCCUCAUCCUGAAGCCACUCUACAAACGCAGGUCUUUUCCCCUGAUAUAACAUGGGGAAGCCUUAAACCACUGUC